GUCUCUUAUAGUGAAUCAAUUAAACUGAUCUCCUAGUAAAAAAGCUAGAAUUACAACAUAAGACCAGAAGACCCUGUGAAGCUUAAAUAAAACUAUUAAACCAUAUAAUAGCUACUUUCGGUUGGGGCGACCUUGGAAAAAAAAAGAACUUCCAAAUAAAAUGAAUAUACCUCAUUAUCUAAACAGGCCAACAAGCCAAAAAUGACCCAGCACAGCUGAUAAUUGAACCAAGUUACUCCAGGGAUAACAGCGCAAUCUUCUUCAAGAGCCCAUAUCAAAAAGAAGGUUUACGACCUCGAUGUUGGAUCAGGACAUCCUAAUGGUGCAGCCGCUAUUAAGGGUUCGUUUGUUCAACGAUUAAUA
rnacentral:rRNA from 1 species